ACUCUGUGCUCUGCUGUGCUGU
rnacentral:miRNA from 1 species